AUGGGCUCCUUGUUGUUGCCUGUUGCUGGUUGUUGCUGUACUGAAGAGGAGGAUGAGGAGCCUGUUGCUGGUUGCUGCUGUACUGAAGAGGAGGAUGAGGAGCUGCUGAAGAGGAGGGGAGGAGGAGCUGCUGGAGAGGAGCUGCUGCAUAGGAGGGAGCAAAUCUGCUGGAGGAGAGGAGCCAGAGAAGGAGGAGAUGCGUGUGGGUUGGGGGCUGUUUCUCUCUCUCUUUCCCCCCUCUUACCUGUUGGUGCUAACAACAUCUCUAUUUCCCACCAAGAUUGUUUCCCGCCUAAAACUGCUUUCCUUCCUGGCUGGCAGGCUCAAGGCGUCCAACAUGGACUAGGGCACCUACCUGGAUGCCUUAGCACCGCUUCAGACGCCUUAAAGCUUAAGGCAGACGCCUUACUCAGGUACCUAAGGCAAGCUGGACCCCUUGAGCUUGCGGGGUGCCCUGACGCCUAUGCGUCGUCUAGGCGACACCUUAUGGACACUUUAAAAACAAUGAGAACAUCUUAUAAUAGUGAAUGA
rnacentral:rRNA from 1 species